GGGGAAAAAUUAAUAAUUUAUAAAUAAUAAAAAAAUUUUUAAUACUAGAAUGGGGGUUAUAGUAUUAUUAAUAGAAAAAAUUAUAAAUUUUAUAGUUAAUUAGUAUCGUAAGAGAAUUUUGAAAUAAGUGAAAAUAAAAUUUUAAUAAAGUAAAUUUAAUUUAUUGUAUCUUGUGUAUCAGAGUUUAUUAAAUUAAAUUUAUUUUUAAAAAUAAAUCUCGAAUUUAGAAGAGUUAAUUAAUUAUAAAAGUUAAUGUAAUAUAAUUAUUUUUAAUAAUUAAUUUGAAAUGAAAAGUUAAUCGUUUUUAAAUAUAUCUAGUUUCUUUAGAAAUAAAUUUAAUUUAAAAUUUAAUUUUAUAAAGAAUUUUUUUUUAAUUAUAAAUAAAUUAAAUUUAAUAUUUUAGGGGAUAAGCUUUAAAUUAAAUAUUUAUAUAUAUAUAUAAAUUAUUAAAAUUUUUAAAAUUUAAAUUGUUUAAAAAUUUUAAUUUUUUAUAAAAAAUUUUAAUAAAAAUAAAAUUUAUAAGAAAAAUUAAAAUUAUAUAAAGAAAAAAUUUUUAAUAAUAAAAAAUUAAAAAUAAUGAUAAAAUUAGUAUAAAAUAAAUUAAUAAAGUAAAAAAUUUAAAAAAUUAAAUUAAAGGAAUUCGGCAAAUAGGUAUAUUCACUUGUUUAUCAAAAACAUGUCUUUUUGUUAAUAAUUUAAAGUCUAAUCUGCCCACUGAUGAAAAUUGAAGGGCUGCAGUAUAUUGACUGUACAAAGGUAGCAUAAUCAAUAGUCUUUUAAUUGAAGACUUGUAUGAACGAUUUGAUGAAAUAUAAACUGUCUCUUAUUUAAAUAUAGAAUUUAAUUUUUUAGUUAAAAAGCUAAAAUAAUUUUAAAAGACGAGAAGACCCUAUAGAGUUUUAUAUUUAAAUUAUUUAAUAUUUUAUAUAUAAAUUAUAAUAAAAAUUAAUUUAAAUAUUUUAUUGGGGUGAUAGAAAAAUUUAAUAAACUUUUUUUAUAUAAGAUCAUAAAUAAGUGAGAAGAUGAUCCAUAAUUAAUGAUUAAAAGAAAAAAUUACCUUAGGGAUAACAGCGUAAUUUUUUUUUUUAGUUCAAAUAAGAAAAAGAGAUUGCGACCUCGAUGUUGGAUUAAGAUAAAAUUUAAAAGCAAAAGUUUAAAAUUUUGAUCUGUUCGAUCAUUAAAAUCUUACAUGAUCUGAGUUCAAACCGGUGUGAGCCAGGUUGGUUUCUAUCUUUAGAAAAUUGGAAUAUUUUAGUACGAAAGGAUUAAAUAUUUAAAAUAAUUUUAAAAAAAGAAUUUUAUUAAUAUUUAUAUA
rnacentral:rRNA from 1 species